rnacentral:rRNA from 1 species
UACGUAGGGGGCAAGCGUUGUCCGGAUUUAUUGGGCGUAAAGAGCGUGUAGGCGGCUAGGUAGGUCCGUUGUGAAAACUCGAGGCUCAACCUCGAGACGUCGAUGGAAACCAUCUAGCUAGAGUCCGGAAGAGGAGAGUGGAAUUCCUGGUGUAGCGGUGAAAUGCGCAGAUAUCAGGAGGAACACCGAUGGCGAAGGCAGGUCUCUGGGCCACUACUGACGCUGAGAAGCGAAAGCGUGGGGAGCGAACAGG